GUGGGGAAUUUUCCGCAAUGGGCGAAAGCCUGACGGAGUGACGCCGCGUGGGGGAUGAAGGCCUUCGGGUUGUAAACCCCUGUCAGAGGGAAAGAAGGGUGUCGGUGUUAAUAGCGCCGGCAUCUGACGGUACCUUCAGAGGAAGCCCCGGCCAACUCUGUGCCAGCAGCCGCGGUAAGACAGAGGGGGCAAGCGUUGCUCGGAAUCACUGGGCGUAAAGAGCGCGUAGGCGGGAUGGCAAGUCGGUCGUGAAAUCCCUCGGCUCAACCGAGGAGCGUCGGCCGAUACUGCUGUUCUUGAGGGAUGCAGAGGAGACUGGAAUUCCCGGUGUAGCGGUGAAAUGUGUAGAGAUCGGGAGGAACACCGGUGGCGAAGGCGGGUCUCUGGGCAUCUCCUGACGCUGAGGCGCGAAAGCGUGGGGAGCAAACGGGAUUAGAAACCCUUGUAGUCC
rnacentral:rRNA from 1 species